GUGAUUUCUGACCUACCCAGAACAAGGAGGCAGAGGGCUAAUGGCAACAGGACAAAGUGUUUUCCCACACGUAAAACAAAUUGUUUACCAGACCAAAUACAAAAUCCUGUACUAAAUCAGGUUUCCACAUUUGGCUCCUGAGGUUGUCACAGAGCACCAGGUUUGAACUCCUUCAGUUCAUUUACUCUUGGGAAUCUUGACCUCCAUCACUGACUGGCUGAUUCCUUUCCAGGUCUGUACUUAUAUGUCCUACCCCUGUUUGUGGGGUAGGAUUCUGUCUUUGCCACAGGGGCCACUUUCUCCCUCCUUUCUGAGGAAAAACAAGUGGUAAGGUCUGAUGAAGACGGGCCCAGGGAAGGCAGACCAUGGCAUAAGAGCAGCUCCGGCCGUCCGAUGGCAUCACAGAAGGACCCAUACCCCAGAGCUGACCUAGGGGCAUUCAGAAGCCUAAAGGCGAGACACUACAAGAAGGACAAGAGUAUAACCAAUCUCAGUUCUCUCCAUCUCCUCCUCCCUUGCAGCAAGGAAGACCUAAGACUGAGCCUCUGCUGUGCCAACUGCUUGUGUAGGGCCCUUGGUAUCCACACUUGGCUCUGGUUGGGAAGGAGGUCCUAAGGUUUGACCUGGGAAAUCUGAGCAGACUGUUCCUGGGAUACAUAGAUUCAGUUCAGUUCAGUUCAAUCACUUAGUCAUGUCCCACUCUUCAUGACCCCAUGGACCACAGCACGGUAGGCUCCCCUGUCCAUCCCCAACUCUCAGAGCUUGCUCAAACUCAUGUCCGUCGAGUCCGUGAUGCCAUCCAACUAUCUCAUCCUCUGUCAUCCUCUUUCUUCCUUCAGUCUUUCCCAGCGUCAGGGUCUUUUCUAAUGUGAAGUCAGCUCUUCACAUCAGGUGUCCAAAAAAAGUAUUGGAGCUUCAGCUUCAGCAUCAGCAUCAGUCCUUCCAAUGAAUAUUCAGGAUUGACUUCCUUUAGAAU
ensembl:lncRNA